AUUGAACGCUGGCGGCAGGCCUAACACAUGCAAGUCGAACGAGUGGCGGACGGGUGAGUAAUGUCUGGGAAACUGCCUGAUGGAGGGGGAUAACUACUGGAAACGGUAGCUAAUACCGCAUACCAACAUAUGUGCCCAGAUGGGAGUAGCUAGUUGGUGGGGUAACGGCGCACCAAGGCGACGAUCCCUAGCUGGUCUGAGAGGCUGACCAGACACACUGGAACUGAGACACGUUCCAGAAUCCUGUGUGAGGCAGCAGUGGGGAAUAUUGCCCAAUGGGCGCAAGCCUGAUGCAUCCACGCCGCGGGUAGGAAGAAGGCCUUCGGGUUGUAAAGUACUUUCAGCGGGGAGGCGUUACCCGCAGAAGAAGCACCGGCUAACUCCGUGCCAGCAGCCGCGGUAAUAC
rnacentral:rRNA from 1 species